CCUACGGGGGGCAGCAGUGAGGAAUAUUGGUCAAUGGGCGCGAGCCUGAACCAGCCAAGUCGCGUGAGGGAUGACGGUCCUACGGAUUGUAAACCUCUUUUGCCGGGGGGCAAGCGUGCGUUCGUGAACGCGCGUCGAGAGUACCCGGAGAAAAAGCAUCGGCUAACGCCGUGCCAGCAGACGCGGUAAUACGGAGGCUGCGAGCGGUAUCCGGAUUUAUUGGGGUUAAAGGGGGCGAAGGGGGGAUGCCAAGUCAGCGGUAAAAAUGCGGUGCUCAACGCCGUCGAGCCGUUGAAACUGGCGUUCUGGAGUGGGCGAGAGGUAUGCGGAAUGCGUGGUGUAGCGGUGAAAUGCAUAGAGAUCACGCAGAACUCCGGUUGCGAAGGCAGCAUACCGGCGCCCUACUGACGCUGAGGCACGAAAGCGUGGGUAUCGAACAGGAUUAGAUACCCCGGUAGUC
rnacentral:rRNA from 1 species